AUCGAUAUAAAAAGCUCCUGGAAUUCCCAUAUCACUGUCCCAUUCAAAAUGAAUACUGAAAGCAGUUUGUUUGUCUCCCAAUGUUGGUAAAGAGGUAAGAAGACCUUCCAAAAAUGUUUGCUUUCCUACUUUUCCUUUUCCAGUUCCUAUUAAAAUGUCAAAUUUUGGAUUCCCAAUUUCAUUAAUCAUCAUUCUAAAUUGAUUAUUUAUAACUAAUAUUCUAAAUAAAAAAUAACACGAAACUAAGGUCAAUCUUAAUGGACUGAGGGGUAAAACUCUUAAAAAAUAUAAGAUAAAAUUACUUACACUUGAUAAAACUAAGAAUAAUUAUUUUUUACUUCUUAAUAUAAGGCCAGUUAUAUAUGAUCGUAUUAAAAUUUUAUAUUACAUAAGACAAUUUCUAGUUGUGACUUUCUUUUAUGUAAUACCCAGCAAAUCUAGGACUCUAGAUCAACGGUGGAUAGUAUAUUUUAAAAAAAUAAUUAUCAAAGUAAAAGCCUAAACUGAUUUUUUUUAGAAAAAAUAUAUUGAAACCAUGCUACAUUGGUCCUUGGAAAAAAAUAGUCACAUAUUUUGAUCCGAAAUCACUUUUCUCUUUACAUCUUUUUUAUUUAUCUUGUUAUUUAAAUAAAUGAUAUCUAUAUAGAUCUACUUUUUAUUUAUAUUUUCAUGUUAUUUUGCUGAUUAAAUGAAAAGUUAUUAGAUUUUUAUGAUCUCGUUUAAGUAUUUUUUUUUGUUUAAAUUAACUUUGAUUCAAUAUAGAUAUAUAUAUAUAUCAAUAACUCCAAUGUCAUCAAUGUUUACAAGUUCGAAGAUAAAAUUAUUUCAGCUACUUUAAUUUUAUCAAAUUUAUAAAUAUUUUGUCCUCUUAUACUAUUAAUCCGAAUAUUAAUCUUAUUUACAAGUUUACCGUUUUUAAUUUUAAGGAAUUUUUAUUUGCGUAGUUCUCAAUUGAUAUAUUUUAUUAAUUUGAAUGAAAUGUAUAUCAUUGUUUAAUAAAAAAUAAAAUUGCUUAAUUAAAUUAUAUAUUAAAAUAGGGAGAGUGAGAAAGAGAAUUGUUAUUACCAUCGUCAGUUGUAGCACUGAUCAACUUGAAAGCAAUAGAACGACCCAAGAAAGAAGUGGCGGUAUCAAGUAAAGAGCCGGCGAUAUCUCCGAUAGCGCCGAUGGCACCACCGAUUAUACCACCGGGGCUUUGAACUGCAGUGAGAGCGUUGAUGUCCAAAACAUUCUUUUGCAUCAACACCACAGUUCCUUUCAGCUUUUCGCCUCUGUUAAAAAUACCUUUCACCAAUGAAGCCAUCAAGCUAUGUUAAUUAAUUCACUUUCUUUGACAAAUGUAAGAAAAGCUCGUGUCUUGUAACCAUGGAGUGUGCUUAGUAUUUAUAGACUAUCGUAGUUGUCAUAAGAAGGUUAGAUCACUAAAAAUAUACUUUUUUAUUCAUUAUUUGACAACAUGUGAAAAUACAUUGGGACACAUCUCUUCAGCUAUUUUUUUUAUUUAUUUAUUAAAUUUUAUUUAUUAAAAAAUGUAGGAUGAUAAAAUAAUGUCUCAACUUAAGUUAGUGAAGAUUUUAUAGUUGAUUGAACACUUACAAAUAAUUUACAUUUGCGUUCUUUAAUAAUAUUAGAGGAUAUUUAGGAUAUCGAAUUUAAGAGAGAGAAUAGGUUGGGCCGAUGUAGAGUUUGUUAGGCUUGUAAAAAAAUUCAAGGUUUAAGUCUAGUUUGUCGGUUACAGACUUACUUUUUAAGUCUGAGUUUGACAUUGAUAAAAGUUGUGAUAGAAGUCUGGUAUUAUAUUAUCUGUUAUCAUACUUAAAAGCCUAAUUCAUUUCAAUAUUUUUGAAUAAAUAAUAAAAUAUAUAUUUAAAUAAAUUAAUGAAUUAAUAUGUCAAUAAAAUUAAGUUCUAUUUUGAUAUUUAACAUUAUAUUUUGAAGAAUAUGAUUUUAUAAAUAUAAAACUUAAAUUAUAUUUUAUAAUAAUACAUUUAAAUAUGUCAAAAACUAAAUGAUAUUAAUAUGCUAAAUUAUUAAAAGUUGAAUAUAUAAUAAAAAAAAAUCAAAAUUUAGUAUAAGAAUUAUACUGGUAAAAAAAUAUUAUUUAUAUUUAUUUAAAUAAGUCGACCUAAUAGCUCAAUAAAUUUAUCAGGUAGUUUGAUCUUUUUAACUAAUCUAUUUUAAAAAAAAAAAGUCUAACAUGAUCUAGACCUGACAUAUACUAUUAAUCUGAUCUAUUUUCAUCUUUAAUUCGAUCUAAUACCUAUUUUUUAGUGUUGUAUUAAUGUUGUUUCUUGUGCAAUUUUAUAUUUAUCGUGAUUAUCUCGUGGCUUAUAAAAUAAUAAUGUCAUUUGCAUAAUUAUUUUGAUUGUUCUUAUAUGUACCAGCUUUUACGUUAUGGGUAAUCAUGAGUCUAUUGCACUAUUGUUAAUUACGUUCUUACCUGUAAGCCGACCAAAAUAUUCCUUUUUUAUUUUUUUUAUUUUUUUAUUUUCAUACUCUUGUUUAGAAGUAAAUUUCAAAUUUAACCCUUAAUCUCACUUAUUCACUAAUUAAUUUAUUAAAGUAUUCUAAUUUAAUAUUUCUAAUGUUAAUCACGUUUUUGUUUUGUUUUAAGGGAUGGGUAACUUAAGAGUUAUCUUUAUAUCAUGGUAUAGAAAAUAUAAUUUAAAUUAUAUUUUAUUUUAUCUUAAAUCUAAAAUAAUGACAUUAUUUAACUAUUUCACAUAAAUUAAAAAAAUUAUUAUUAAUUAAAAUUUUCUUUUUAAUCAUUGAUGUAUUCUAUUUACCACAAAUAUAAAAUAGUGAAUAAUAAAUUGAUAGUGAUUAAUAUAAUUUAAUACUUAAUUGUAGUUCUGGACCCUUUGUUUUUAUCAAUUAAAAAAAUUGAUAUAUUUAUUUUAAAAUUCGACAGUUGUUGUCCUUCUAUAAAAAUUUUGAACUAAUAAAAAUGACAAUUUAAGGUAUUUUAAAUAAUGUGAGAUUCAAUUACAUGAUAUAGAAUCACCUAGAUAAAUUAAUUAUUUAUAUAUGUCAUUAAUUAAAUUAUAAAUAUGAAGAAAAAAAAUUGAAGUUGAAAGUUACAUUUUUAUAGUGUUUUAUUUUGAUUUUAUAAAUGUUAAUCAUUCUACGCCAUUUUAUCAUAUGACAUAUUAUUUAAAACAUGUAACGUGACCAUUUUUUAGUUAAAAAAUAGAGGGUCCAAAUUGUCAACUUUUAAAAUAUGAAAUUAGUUUCGUGAAUCAGUAGAAAUAUGAGAACUAAAACUAAAAUCAAACUUAAUAUUAAUUAGAUAAUACAGUUAAAAAAAAUUAAAAUUACAUUAAAAAAUGAUGUAAUUUAUACAUACAAUAUAAAUAAUUUUUAUAUUAUCAAUCAAUAACACAACCGUUAUAUUAUUAGAGGUAUUUAAAUUUUAUCAAAUUAUCUUUAAAAUUAUAUUCAUAAAUACAUAUGUACUUAUGAUAUAUUAAUAGUAUAAAUUUUUUAGAUAGUACAUAACAAUUAAUUUUGCGAUGUUCAGACGUGUUGACCCAAAUGACAUUCCUACAAAAAUUCUUGAAAUUCCUACAAAAAUGCUUUUAGUCUCUUCACAAACGGAUGUAGGAAUAAUCAUAACCUGAGGUUGCCCCACCUAUCUUAAUUAAAAAUUUAAAAACUAACUUGGUGAGAUUUGAAAAUCUUAAAGCAAAAUAUUAUAUCAAUAAAUAUACAUCAUGUGCGUGUACGGUGUAUGGUAAAUCCUUUUGGAAAGAUUUAUUCGUACAAACACAUAGCAUAUCACAUAUGUUAUUUAGACAUAAUAUAUACUAUUAGUUAAUGUCUUUUUUUCAUCGUAAUCAUACGAGUAAAGAGAACAUAUUAAUAAAAAAAAUUCAAAACUGUAUGUUAAUAUGGUUUUUGAUGUCGAAAUUUAUGUCAAAAUAUUAUUUCUGCAUAGUACAUAUAAAUAAAGAUUAUGAUAUAAUUUUUGAAAAAUUAAAAGAUUAUUAAAUAUUUAUUUUAUUUAUAAGUGUAUGUUUUUUUAGUUUUUCAUAAGUUAUUUUCACCAAAUGUAAUCUGUUAUGUUAGAUAUUAAAGUUGAUACAUCUUUUGAUGAAAAUUCAAACUUCAACAUGUUAAGUGCACAACAAAGCCUGGAUAAAACACAUUAAACAACUUUUAUCAUUUUAAGAGAUUUAUUUCAAAUAUGUCAGCUACAUAUACCAUUUAUGUGAUGGCCAUUUUUAAAUAGUAUAUUAUAAUAGUUUAACUUUAAUUUUUUUUUUUGUGUGACUAUUAUGUUUCCUAUUUUGGAUUAUUUACCAAUAAUAUAAAUUAUGUAAAUGUUAUAAAAAUGUAUAAUUGAUUUUGGAAACAAAUAUUAUUUCCAUAAAUAAAUUGAAGUUAUCAAAUAAUAUUUUGGGACAGAAACGGUAGUAAUUAUUAUAAGCAUGUUUUACAAAAUAAUUUUUUUAAUAUUCUAAAUAAUAAGUUAUUGAUGUAAUUAAUUUGAGGUUAAAUAUAUCCCCUUAAAUUUAAUUACAUUAAUUAAAUAGUGCAAAUUUUAUAAAACUAUUUUUGUAUUAAUAAUUCAUUUGUGCCAAAUUAUAUGUCAUUUUUCCAAUUUCACAUAAAUUAAAAAAUAUUAUCAAUGUUGUAUAAAAAAGAGAAAUUAUGAUUUGUUUUAUAAAAUAUCGUUCAUUAAUGAUAUAAGAACGAUAAAUUUAAAACAUUGAGAAAAAAAAAAAACAAAGUAAUACAUAGUAAAAAGUUUAAUAGCAAAAGAAACAUUAAUAAUUUAGUGAUACCGGAAAACAAUAUCAUUUAGAAAGAAAUUAUUGAACACUUAUCUAACCAUUAAUAGUCGAACAUAAUUAAUCAAAUAUCAAAUAAUUAUAAGCAAUAAAAAUAAUUAUAAAAUUCUAAUUUGUCAAAAUAGCAAAAGAAACACAUCAUCGUUUUUCCUCUUAACUUCAUAGUAUCCAGUGCAACAUCCUCAACUCUCACUAUAUCGACAUAUGAAAAUUAAAGCGAAUCUUAAUUCUUUCAAACCUCUCUUUGAAUACAUGAGUGACAUUGACUUGAAUCCCCAAAGAUUAAGUUCACCCUUUAUAUUUUUUUUAACCUAUUAAAUAUAGUUUUUAUUAAAUAUUUCAAUGGUUAACAUUUGUCAAAUAAAAUAACAAAAAUAACAAAAUCAUACAGUUAUUUUAAAAAAUCAUUUAUGUAAUAUAGUAAAAAAGAAAAUAUUAAUGUUUUAUUCACUACACUAUUAUUUAAAAUAAUAAGGACCAUAAUUAUAACUCAUACUAAUAGAAUUUUAACACGUGUAUCACACGUACUUAUAUCAAUGGUAAUCUAUUCUGCAUCAAUUACCAUUAACAACAUAAACAACAUAACUUGUAUAAAACAAAUACUAUAAGUCAUUCAGUUUAAGAAAUAGAGUUCAAUUUAUUAUUUGAUAUUGUCACCCAUUUAAUCAAUCACUGCUCUUUUAUUCAAUUACAAAUAUGAUUAAUAUUUUAAAAUAUCUUGAAAUUAUUUUUUCAAUUGUGUUACUUUAAGAGCAUCCUAAUUUUGGUACUUUAAGAGCAUUCACUUAAGUUUAUCUACUUAUUUUAAAUGAUUUUGAUGAUUUUGAAAGGAUUUUAUCAUUUUGUAUAACUUUUUUAAAAGAGAUUUAAAAAUAAAAGUUUUAAAUAAGAAAUUAGUUUGAAUAGCUUCUAUUUUAAGUAUUUCAUCAUUUUAUUACAAAUUUUUUUAGAUGAUAAAAUUUCAAAAAUUGUUUAAAAUAUGAAGCUAUUAAUUUUGAGUAGUUUCUCAUAAAAAUCAUUUUCAAGAUGUAUUUUUUUUUAAAACAAUAAUUUUUUUAUUUUUUUUAAAUAUUUAUAUUAUUAAAUAUUAAAAUUAUUAUUUUUAAAUCUAUAACAUAUAACUCUUAAACAACUUUUAUUGUUUUUGAAUAGGUUUUCAUAAAAAUCAUUUUUCAUUUAAUCUAUAACAAACAUACCAAUAUCUUUAUUGUGUAGAUUACUUUUUCAGCGCAUUAAUUACCACUUUUUCCAUGCCAUAUUGCAGAAUUGUAGUACUGCUAGCUAGCUACGUACAAACCUUGGUGUUCUUAAUUCAUUCAUUGAAUCCAAACAUGAAGGUUGCAUUUCAUAUUACAUGUCUAACAAAUACAAGAGAUACAUACAUCAUAUGUAGUUCUUAGUAAAGUAAAACGUAAGAGUGAACAACCAAAGAUACAAAGCAAACAUGACAUGAUUGUGAUGAGGGAAUUUGAUUGCUACUCAUAUUUUAUUCAAUGCCGCAACACAACAAACCAUCAACCUCUUUAUAUGGAGAUACUAUUGGGAAUGUCUCUACAAGUCAAUCCUUUAUCACUAGAAGGAUAAAGCAAAGUGUAAGGCAUUUUCACUAGUCCACGUCGGUUUCUCAAUGACUCAUCAUUGUUCCUUUGAAUGAGCAUUUGCUCAAUUUUUGCCAACUUCUUUCCAAACCUCUUGAAAGCCUCAAUUGGUUGUGAAUCAGAAGUCCAAAGAUCACCUUUAACUCUUUGUCCAAGGUAUACAACAUAUGGAUAGUCCUCUGUUAAAAGACGAAUGUCGUGUGGAGAAGUUGAUCCUCAAUAGCCACUCUUCUAGAUAACAAGCAAGGAAGAUCACUACUAAAAAUUUCACUUUUAGUGACCGAUUUGGAGACUAAAUUUUUUCGAUCACUUUAGAGACUGAAUUAGAGACCAAAAUACAAAACUGUAUAAAGAACCAUUUUUUUGUCACUAAAUCGGUUGCACAUGAUAUUUAGAGACUGAUUUAAUGACUUAAGUUUUAGUGACAAAAAAAUCGAUCUCUAUUAUUUAUAUCUUCUUUUUAAUUAAAAUUGCUGGCAAAACUUUUAUUAAUGUCUAUUUUUGUUACAACACAUAUUUUUAUUACAUCACAUUUUUCAUUUGCGGCAUAUUUUGUUUUAAUUGGACAUAUCUUUGAUUUUGUUUUGUCUCAUCAGUUUCUCAUAAGAAAUCAUCUCAAAAUUUAAUUGAUUUGUGGACAUGAUUUUGUAUUUAAGUGUAUUACGUGUUUUUUUUUAUAAAUGAAUGAACAUCAAUGUUUUAGGAAUCACUAUUAGAAAAACCGAUUUUAGCGUCGGCCAAAAGCCCACACUAAUGUUGACUUGGCGUCCGAUUAGCGUCGGUGUCGGCCUAGGCUAAAACCGUCGAAGUCAAUAGCGUCGGUCAAAUACCAUCCCAAAGUAAAUGCAUCCAACACUAACAAAUAACAAUACCUUCAAAUUAGAAUCCGCUAGUUUAUAUCCUGAAAAAAUUCUAUUGCGUCGGAAUUACGGUCGACAAAUUAGUUAGCGUCGGCUACUCCGACGCAAUGGUCAACUAAUAAAGUAAGUGGACUAUUAAUAAAAGUCAACUUUGUUACUAAUAUAGCGUCGGGCAUGCCAAUGCUGCGAUCAACAAUUGAAACGUAAACAACAAAGAACAAAUCAAAUAAAUGUAGUUAAAUAUGUCACCACAAGCAUGAUAUAAUUGAUAAUGCAUAAAAAACACUUUAACAAAUGCCUAAUUCUUUCACCAGGUUCCAUUAUGCUUCAUUAUUAUAUACUUAUAUCAUAAAUCCCAGAUAGACAUCAAACAGAGAAAAUAAACCUUGCCUUGCAAAACGAGGUAAAGAACAACGUCAAAUUCUGUAUAAAUGCCUAAACAGAGGGUGCAAAAAAGCCAAGGUUAGACAUUGCAAACAAUUCAGGAAAUUGGGCUUCUUAUUGAGAUGAUGAAUACUGUUGCUUAUUUUUUAAAACCACAUGUAAUAAUAACUCAUGUAAAUUGUUGGUUUUUUAGAGGAAUGAGUACGCAUACAUGAAUGUAGUAUGUGUGUGACCCUCUUAGAUUCAUUAAGAUUAAUGUAUGAAAACAUUUAAAAGAAUAAUGAAAUAGAUUGCAGUAAAAAGAGCAUUACCAUUGCUCCCUUCAACAAUUCCUGCGGGUUCAGAGAGCUGCAAAACAUUGAUAAAUAUGUUUUAACAUAUAUCCAUGGCUAUUAGGUAAGUAAGACUUCAUUUGUUUUGAUUUGUUAUGUUGAUAUUAAUUUGCAUGAGCAUUUACAUUAAGUCGCUUGCACAUGAAAUAUUAAUUACUAAUAGAAACUUGCAGGCUGACCAGUCAAUCUUAGUGUCACAAGAACUAUACAUAAAUAAGAAUGAGGAGAGAAUUUUGAGAAACUUCAGCAAAGACAGAAUUUGGAAAUUGCACAUAAAGACAAAAGGAACAUAUAAAAUAUCAUAACAUAUAUUCCCCUUUGAAGUAUUACACACACACACAAAUACAAUCAAUUGAGCCAUGCACUCAGCCCCACUCAACUCCACCUAGUAAAAAGUGGUUUGCUUGUUGUUGACAAUGAUAAAGAAAUCUAAUUAUAGAAGCAAAAUUAGUACUGCAAGGCGCAAGCUAUAAAAGGCUUCACAAAUUGUCCGAGAAGAGAGGAUCACCACCAGCUAGCAAACGAGAUCCUCCUGUUUUCAGAUCAACUCUUGAUCAUUGGUACAGUAAGGACAUAAUUCGAACAACACAACCAUAAUUCGAACAGUACAGUCAAACCCUAAACCAAAACUGAACACAAACGACUUAGAUGGUUAAGGUUACAAUUACAUCGAGAAUGGAUGACAGUGAGAGUGAGCCUGAGAGACGAAAGUGAGAGUGAAUUUGAGAGACGAGAUUGAGACGGCGAAAGUGAGUCUGAGAGAUGAGCGGACGAGAGUGAGAUUGGGGGUGAGGCUGCGAGAGUGAAUGUGAGGCGAGGGAAACGGUGACACGGCGACGAAAGGGUGAGAGUGAAGAGUCAAGGGCGAGGGUUAGGGAAAAAUUAAUGAAGUGGGGAUAGGGAAAAUGGGGUGGGUGAGAGAUAAUAGGAAAAAAUAAUUUUAAUUUUUCAAAUAAGAUUAAAAGAUUUAAUUUUACAAAUCAGACAAUGUAGCGCCAGUCGACCUAAACGGCCAUAUUUUACUUAGCGUCGGCUAAGCCGACGCUAAUGUUUAAGCGGAAAAGAAAUUAAUGAACAUCAAUGUUUUAGGAAUAAAUGAACAUCAAUUUUAGGAAUGUUUGCAUAUAUUUGGGUUUAGAUAUAAGUCAACUAUAUAUUGUUUGAUUUGAUUCUAAAGAUGAAAAAAGGAUUUUGGAUAAGGAGCAGCAACAACCAUUCUAUCAUUGCAAACUCAUUUGAGUUUGUUAAGUUGCCAAUUGUGGCUAUAUAUUUUUGAUGAUUCAUUUGUAUUUAAAAUGAUUUGUUCAAUAUAUUCAGCAAAUAAUGCAUAUUAUUGGAAUUAGCACUGAACAAAGCAUAUGUUAUUUUGAAAAUGAAAAAAAUAGUGUUUUGAGGAGGAACUAUAAUUUCUCACCCGUUUGGAAAUUGUUUAACUUCUUAUUUCUCAAUCUAACACACUCACAUAUUAGGGCUAUUCUGUACGUGGUGUUUAGCUCUCAUUUAUGAGAAAAUUUCAAUGGCAACUUUAGGUUGUUUCGUUGGUUAGUAUGAUUGACUUAUUUAUGUUACAAACAAUUUUGAUUUGUUUUUUAUUGAAAAGCUUCUUUUCUUUCGUAUUGUUUUGUUCACUUGUACAAUGAUUGACUAUCUAUGUAUGCAUCUACAUUACCUAUAAAUCUUAUUUGGAUUUUAUCCAAAAGCGCUUCAUUUUCCUAAGGUUUAUGUGAAUUUUAGUUGCUAAAAUAUUUUCAUUGAAUUAUUCACUAAACUAAAAUUGAUUAGUCACUUACUAAUAUUAUGUAAAGUUUCAAAUAUUAAGAUUCUUCUAUUGUUGGUUAUUUUUAUCAACAACUUACAAGAUCACUUUUUUUAUUUAGGUCCCGCUGAGGAACUUGUUGAAAAACCGUUUGUUGUCAUAAAUUGGCCACAAUAUUCAAAUUUUAUAUUUUUCAAGCUAAAUACCCUAUCAAAAAGAAUUAUGAGAUAAACACUUAUUACAAAUAAACAUAAAAAAUAUGAGAUAAAUAUUUAUAAAAGAUAAAUUUAAAAAGCGCAUGAAUAAUAUUUAUCAUUAUUACUUUAAAAAAAUAUAAGACAAAUAUUUAUCACGAAAAGUAUAAAAAGCACGUGAUAAAUAUUUAUCAUUGAAAAAUAUAAAAAAUACCAGACAAAUAUUUAUUACUGAUAAAUAUAGAAAUACAUGAGACAAAUAUAUGUUAUUAAUAUAUAAAAAAUAUAUGACACAUAUUUAUCACCGAUAAAUAAAUAUAAAUAAAAAAUACGGAACAUAUAUUUGUCAUUGAUACAUAAAAACAACAUGAAAAAAAUAUUUAUCACAAAUAAAUAUAAAAAACACAGGAUAAAACUUUGUCACAGAUAUAUAAAAAGAAAUAUGAAAAAAAUAUUUGUCAUCGAUAAAUAUUAAAAAUACACACAGAAUAUAUAUUUUUCAUCGAUAAAUAUAAAAAAUUAUGGGACCAAUAUUUAUCAUUGAUACAUAAAAAAAAAUACAUAACUUAUAUUUGUCAUUAAUCAAUUUAUAAAAACAAUUGUGACAAAUAUAUGUCAUUAAUACAUAAAAUAAGACAAGAAAAAAAAUUGUUGAUAAAUUUAAAAAAGCACAAAACAUAGGGCAAAUAUUUAGUAUUAAAAUCAUACACGAUACAAAUAUUUGUCUUUAAAAAAUUAGUUAAAAUUAAUGUUAUUUUUAAUAUCUGAUACAUAAAAAUAAGAAUAAUUAUAAUACCGUAUUUAUAAAUAAAAAAAUAUACUCAAGACAAUUGUUUGUCAUAAUUAAUUAAUGAUUUAAAUAUAUAUUUGAUCAUCAAUUAUAGUAUUUUUUUAUUUUAGUCCUCAUAUGUUUUUUUGUUUGAUUCACAUCUCUCCAAAUACAUAUUCAUUUUAAAAUGGAGGGAGACAAUAAAAAUUAGAGUUUUCAGUUUUAGUUUCCCUUUAAAAAAAUAAUCAAAAAAUUAUUUUUUAUAAAAAAAUUUAUUUAAUACAUUGUGUCGUCAACUUAAUAUUUUAAUUACUUAAUGGUGUUAGAAUUUUUUUAUCAAAAAUUGGUCUAAAAGACUAUUUUAAAAUGAAUAUGUAUUUGUAGGAAUGUGAAUCAAACAAAAAAAUUUACGAUAACUAAAAUAAAUAAAUAAAAUAUUAUAAUUGUAAGGACUAAAGACGUAUUUAAAUCUUAAUUAAUUAAUUAAUUUUAAUUUAAUUAAUUAAGUUUAACUUACAUUUGUCUUUUUUGCUUAAUUUAAUUGGUUAUGCUUCAACAUUAUAGUAUCGUGCUUCGAUUAUAUCAAUUAAAUUUUUUGAUAGUAAAAUGUUAUAAUUUAUUUUAACAUUUAUGCAAAUAACAUAUCAUAAUUAUUUAUAUAAUAUUUAACUAUUCAUGUUAUAAUUAAGUGUUAUGUAUUUUUGUCCAAAUGACUUGUCCAAAUAACUGUGCCCAACCAAGUAUUUUUCUUUGUGCAUAGAGUAAUUUGCACUGUUGUAGUUAUUGAGUUAUUAUUUGUUUUGAAGUGAUUGAGUUAUUAUUAGUUAAGUUUAUUUUACUCAAAACUUUGUUAUUUGUUAUUUUAUAAGCAAAUAUAAAUAAUUAGUUAGAUUAUAUUAAUAUAUGAGAUCAAAUUUGAGAUAUUUUGAUUGAAAUGUUAUAUAGUAUAUAUAUAUAUAUAUCCCAUUAUGUUAGAUUAUUCAAUUAAUUAAUUAUUAUAAAUUAUGGCUAAUUGCUAAUAAAUAUUAAUUAAUUAUUAUAAAUUAUGGCUAAUUGCUAAUAAAUAUUAAUUAAUUAAUGAAUCUGUGUUGAAUUAUGUUUCUUAAAUCCAAUGAAAAGACUAUCCUUAAUAUUUUAUAGAAAAUUUGUCUUCGAUAGUAUAAAGUUGACCAAAAUACGUUACUAUAAAUCAACUUCUGUUGAUGUAUUAAGCAUCGGAGAGCAAAAAUAAAGGUGGAGGAAUACUUACCGACCUUUACACCAAUUUAUUUUUGUGUAAUAUCUUUUUUAAAAUAAAAUUGAUCGAUUUAAUAUUUGUUGAGAUAAUAUUAAUUUUAAAUAAAAAUUUAUUAAUAUUAAAUUUAAAAACAGUAGAAUAUAGAGGUGGAAAAAUCAAUCGAAUCGACAAUUUGUUUAUAUAAUUUAUCGAUCUCAGUUUUAAAUUUUAUACAUAAAAUACUAAAAUAUAUAUGUAAGGGAUUUUCGUUUUUAAUUUCAAGAUCCCUAAAUGUCUCUUACUAGAAUUAUUUUUUAUUUAACUAUUUUUCUAAAAGUUGAUUGAAAUUUUAUGUUUUUAUCAAUACAAGAACAACAUAUUAAUUUUUCACGUAAUUUCAUGAUAUGGAUUAAGAGAGAUAAUUUGUUUUUAAUUUUAAAAACUCUAAAAUGUCUCCUUGUUGUUUAAUUAUUUUUCUAAAUGUUAAUUGAAAGUUUAUAUUCUUAUGAUUAUUGCACUCAAAAUAUUAACAAUUACAUGAGUUUAUUUUAAAAUUGAACUCAAAAUAUUAACAAUUACAUGAGUUUAUUUUAAAAUUGAGAGAACUUUAAAUUCCAAUUUAACUGAUUUAAAAUCAAAAUCAACAAUAUAAAUAUUUACGAAUAUAAAAGACUUACUUAAAAAAUAAAAAAGGACUAACGUUGAAAGUUAAAAGAUAAAUCUAUUAUAUUCAUAUAACUUAAAAAACUACAAUAUAUAUUUGCAUAAAUAAAUUUAAUAAUAUAAUAUUAUUACUUUUUAAGGUAAAAUAUGAUUAGUUAGUAUUACUUUCACAAAAGAAAAUGAAAAUGAGGUGUAUUAGUGUAUGAUUAUUACCUAACAAUAUAUAUAUUGGCCAAACAAUUGGUUCCGGAAAAAUCAUAAGGGUGUAUUAAUACUUUUUCAGCACUAUAUCAUUUUUCUUCCAUACAAUAUUGCAGAUUAAUUCGCACUACUACCUUUAUAAAAGCAUAAGUAUUAUUCUAUGGUACCAUUUUGUAAGUUUUAUUUUUCAAACUCUCUAACACAUCACACAUGAUAUUGCAGUCUCUUUAUAACCUUUUACAUAGAAACUGAAUAGAAUGUAUAUGCAAUAUUGAUGCUUACGGUAGGACAAUUCACUACUAGAAAAACAAGCUUUAGCGUCGGCCAAGAACCCACGCUAAAAACAAAAGGCCGACGCUAAAUAUGAUUUAGCGCCGCAGCAGAGGCUCAAUCUAAAAGGCUCGAAGCUAGUCAUUCGCGUCGGCUUCUUGUCAUCGGACGCUACAAUCUAUGGCAGAAUGGCCGAAGCUACAUGUUGUGUCGAUGAAACCGACGCUAAAUAGCGUCGGUUAGGCCUACGCUAACAUUGAAAAUCCCAAAAAAUAUAUCGCGAUACAGAACCACGUAAUAUAAAAGCUGUGUUAAUAAAUCCACAACGCAAAUUACAAAUAGUUAUUACAAAAAAAUAUUAUUGCACACGAAAAAAAGAUAAAAUAAAUAAUAGUAUAUCAAACUUAGAUGAAAUUAAGGUAAUUAGAGAAUCGAAUGAAUAGCAUAGUCCACCUUAAAAAAAAAAAACGAUAAGCAAUUAAAUCUAGAUUUGAAUUUUGUCAUUUUUAAUUAGAACAUUGUUCACUUGUUCUAGAGUUCUAUAUAAAUACAAUGUGUUUUUCCACUCUCAAAUUCCUUCAAAUAUUACCACCAUUUCAUUAUAAAGGAAAAAAGAAAGUAUUUUCGGUCUAAAAUGAAAAAGUAUACGAUAAGACUUACUCUUAUUAAGGGGAUUAGCACAAGGUCUUACAAAUUCUCUAAAAUUACCUUACCCUCCAAGAUCAAGAAGGAGAAACUUUACAAACAACUUAAAAGUAAGUUUUUGAGGCCAUUUACUCAUGCAAAAUACAUAUAAACCUCAAUAAAAAUUUCACAUAAUCCCAUCUCAUAAUAGAACAUAAAAACUAAAAAAAUAAAAAUAACAUAGUACCUUUCCUUGAUAAAGAACAAAAGGUAGGAGAAUAAGAAAUGCAGCACAGGGAAAAGAAAAUGAUAAUGGUAAAACAUGUAAGACCCAAAGAUCUAAGAUAACCCAUAAGCAUAGCAUUCCCAUCAUAAACAAAUUGCACACCAUUUCCCUCCAAUUACAGCCACAUCUUCCAUCAUACCAUAACUCAUCAUUUUUACUCAUUUCUUAUAAUUCCAAAUUCCAAACAUGAGAGGAGUGAUUUAUAUUUUAGUCUAUCCUCUCUUUUAUAUCUCAAUUUCAAUUCCCUCUAUACUCAAUAAUUCUCUCUAUCAUAAAUCAUAUAUUAAACUAAUAACAAGAAAAUGAAUAUGGAACUAAUCAUGAGAGUAUUGAUGAUGUAUGCAAUCCAAGUCUCCACAAUAAAAGUUCUAUUAGUUUUGAAGUCUAAGGUCUACAUCACUAACACAUAAUCAACUAGAAGACAAUAAGUGCGAAUUUAAUACUUACAAGCUCAAGUUCCACAUCAAUAUGAGCCUUGUGGCAUGAGGUCUGGAACGCUCUUCUUCUUGGUGAAGCUCGACGAUCUUAUUUUGAUUGGAGAUGUUCUUGAAUUUUACGCCUUCCCUGUAAGCUUGAAGACAAAUCCAAGCUUCCUCACCUAGAAAAAAAUAUAUGAACUUAAGAAACAAAUCAAACAUGACAAUGUAAACAAUUUGUAAACUAGACAUAGAUUACCAAUGAUAAAUAAGGGUAACAAUAAGAACAAUCAACUUGUAAACUAGACGAUGAGAUCAAUAAUCUAUUACAACUUACAAGAACCUCAAAAUAUAGAUUAUGCAAGUAUCAACCAAUAAUUGUGAGUCAGAAUGCUUCCAUCAAUAAUCUAUUGCAACUUACAAGAAGCAAACGUGCUUUUCUUAUAAUGACACAAUAACUAAAUCCCUAAGUUACAUCUUUGUUCACAUAAGGUAAAAUUAAAAGGUAAGUUAUCAAACAUGCAAAUAAGGAACAAAAAAGCUUAACCUUGUUCAAUAUAAACAUUAAAUUUAAAUAACAAAAGAAAAUCAUAAGUCUAAUAAUCAUCAAUCUCAAUCCAAUGCUCAAAAUAUACUUUAGUUCAAUCAAGGCAGGUGCAGCUAAAGGUCUUACUGUUUCCAAAUCACACCAUAAUAAUGGAAAUAAUGAUCUUUUCAACGUGGGCUUCAUCGCUAGGUCUGCUGCAAAGAUUCAAGCUAUAGCUAAUAACAAAUUCAUCCUUCUACAUGAUGAGGACAAUGCAUGUAGCUCAAACUAGACUGUAAUUGAGGAUGAACUAGGGAUUAAUGUUAAUUCUCAAGGCUACAUCCCUCCAAAUGACAGUACCCUGUAAGUUACAGAGAUAUCAGAAACACCUUUGGAUGAUAUGACUACAAGAUUUGGAGUUGCACCCUCCUUAACAUUUUUUAGGAACACAAGGCACAAUUGCACCUUAUUAAGCCACAAUAAGAACAACAUUUAUCAACAUACAAAAUCAAUCACUAACAACAAUCAAAUGUAAACUAACCAUGAUUAUGAGACAUCACAUCCAGAUCCACUAAUCUGCAAUUCAAUCACAUAAUAGUUUCAUAUUUUUCAGACUUCAGUAAAAAGAACAGAACAUGGCAAUAUCAAAAAAAAUUAGGGUUCAAGGAUCAAAGUAGCUUACCUGAUGCUGCAAGAGUUGUGUGAGGGCUUCCUAGAAGAGAAGGGAGAAGUGGUCAUAUGACUGUGAAUAGAGGUCAAAAAUCAUAUUUGAACAAUGUAACAAUAAUGCUUUCUAAAAUAUGGGGUUUAGGAUUUUAUAAAAAUUGAGAGAAAAUGAAAGAUUAGAGUUUCAUAAAAAUUGUUCCUUUGAAACUCAAACUCGAGACUUUAGGAAAGAAAAACUCACCUUUGAAUAAAAUGAAGACAACAGUGGAGGAAGAAAAGUAUGGCAUGGCAGUGAUAAACCAAAACUUUCUGCAAAGAAAAAACUGGAAGGAAAUUAGAAUAGACAAGAAUGAGGGAAACGAGAGUGAUGAGAAUGAAUGAGGGAAAGAAAGGAAAAUCGUGAAGGUUUUUUUGGUGUGUGGGGCAAAAAGAAAGGGAUGAAGGGAGGAGAAUGGAAGGAAGAGAACUGGUGGAAAGAGACGAGAGUGGACGGUUAAAACCGUAUUUUCUAGCGGUUAUUAUUACCUAGAAUAUAACCCGGGCAAUACUUCAUAAUUCUAUAAAUAAGUAGUUAUUGUGAAUAAGAUUUUAAAAAUAAUAUAAUUUAUUUAUUUUAUUUGUAGAGUAAUUUUUUUAAGUGGAUUUAGUAGAGUAAUUAUUAUAUAUAAGUUGACAUACACACAUUUGAGAAUAAGUAAAAUGUUUUGUAUAGUGAAGAUCAUCCUACAAAUAAAAUUCAUAAAUUAUAUUUAUUGUUAAAAAUCUUAAAAAUAUUUUAAUAAAUAUUAAUAUAUAUAAUUAUCUACCACAAAAUUAUAUUAAUCAUGCUCUUCUUUUGUGUUGUCAAAAUAUUGUUAGAAAAAUAUGAAAAUAAUUUUAUCAUUUAGUAUUCAUUUCAUUAUAAUCUGUAAAAAAAACAAAUAAUUUUUUAAUCUAAAUGGUAAAUAGUUUUAUCUCAAAGACACAAUAAUAACACUCAUAUAAAGCUGAAUAUGGACAAUAUUAUUUGUCUUUUGAGAAGCCAACAUACGAUCAUGUCGUAGAUGAGAUCACAUAUGUCUCUAAAAACAAUAUUAUAACUAAGAACAAUCAAGAUUUUGAGAAAAAUGAACAAAUAAGUAUAAUAUGUUACAAAAUACCACUUACUCAAAAACUAUUUGUACAAAAAAAAACAAUUCCAACUAUAUCUACUUCUUUGAAAUAAUUGGGUUGCAAAGAGAUUUUCUUUUGAGUUGAUAAAGUGGAGUUGUGAAAACUUAUAUGCAUAAUGUUUUCUCAUGACAUUGACAAAUCUUAAAAGUUAAUAGCAUAAGUUGCGAUAUAUAAGUUAAUUGCAUGAUGCUGCGAAAUAAAAGAUAAUUGCAUAAGGUGUGUUAAAAUAGCUACAAGAAAAAAAUAUAUUGACCAUUUAAAUAUUGGAGUUUCAGUUACCAAAAUAUAAUGUCAAAAUAAAUAUUAGAGUUUCAGUUUUGUUUUUAAUAAAACACUAAUUGUAUAGAUUAUUUGAAGAAGUAGAAUAGUAUACGUAGAAGAAAAAAACUUAUAUAUUGAUUGUACUUAAAUUUGUAACUCAUGACACAUUAAUAGUUAUACAUACUAUUAUAUGUUAAAUAAUAAUAAUAAUAAUAACAACACAACAUUUGAUAAAGAUGUAGGAGUCUAUUUUAAUAUAUAUAAUAGAUAAAAUGUGUGUUAAAGCAAAAUGAAAGUUGAAUAAUAAAGAGAAUUUAAGCGGAAAAACCAUUUAGAUGUGGCACAUGAGAUUUUUGUUGAGGUGACAAUAUUUGAAUGAAAUGACAUAAUAUUAGAUGAUUUUUAAGUGGGAGUCUAUUUUAAUUUAAGAUUUUUGUUAAAGGGACAAUAUUUGAAUGAAAUGCCAUAAUAUUAGAUGAUGUUUAUGUAGGAGUCUAUUUUAAUAUAUUGUUUAUCUAAAAGAAAAAGGUUUAAAAACAUGUAAUGAUGGAAGAAGAGAUAGAUAAACCUUUAAAAUGAUUCAAUAUAUUAAUUGAUAGUUAAAACAUACAAAGAGGAAAAAUUGUUAUCAACAAAGAGGAAUAAUUGUUAUCAAUAAUGAUGAGGAAACACCGUUAAUUAUCAAUAAUGAUGGAGGAAUAAUGAAUGUCUAAUAAUUGAUAACAUAUUUAUUUAUUGUGUUGUAAUUUGUAACUUAUAGCAUAUGAAUAAUUUUACAAAAUAUAUAUGAAAAAAAUAAAUUGCAAGUAUGAUAAUAAGAAAGAGGAAGAAUCUUGUUAGACGUGCCACAUCAAUUUUUUUUUUAUGGGACAAUAUUUGAAUGAGAUGACACAAUAUUUGAUAAACACGAAGGAGUCUAUUUUAAUAUAUAUUAUAGAUACAUUUUUUUAAUUAUUAUAUAUAGAUACAUAUAUAUCACAGAUCUAGUUUGUUACAAGGUAAAACAAACACAAUAGUUCUUAUUGAUUAAAGUAAAACAUAAUUAAACAAACAUACAUGGUAAUGUAACCGUAGAUAAUGAGUGAGGGAAUUGAAUUCCUUCUCAUCUGUUAUUCAUAUUCAUAGUAGAAACACAACAACCAUGACCUUCUUUAAAUAGAGAUACUAUUGGGAAUGCCUCUAAAAGUCAAUCCUUCUUCACUAGAAGGAUAAAGAAGAGUGUAUGGCAUCUUCACAGGUCCAUUUCGAUUCCUAAGUGUCUCAUCAUUGUUCCUUUGAGUGAGCUUUUGCUCAAUUUCAGCCAACUUCUUUCCAAACCUCUUGUAGGCCUCUAUUGGUUGUGAGUCAGAAGUCCAUAGAUCACCUUCAAUUCUCUGUCCAAGGUAUUGCUCAUCAGAAGCAUGCCUUGACAAGACCUCUAUAAUGGUCAGGUCAGUAAGGGUAUCAUUCUUUGGUGUGAUUGUCCUCAAAUAUGUCUUUUGGUAGUUCUUAGCAAGUUCAUCAUACUCAGGGGAUCCUUUCUCAGGCAUAUAUCUCCUACUUUUAGUUGGUCGGUUAAGGAUAUAUCCUCCAUAUGGAUAUUGUCCAAAAUUAACAGCUGCAUGAAGUGCUGAAGCAAUCCAUAUGAGAAUGGUGCAAGCUUCAAUCAACUCUUUACGAGUUUGCAUCUUAAACCACCAUGUAGCAUUCUUCAAGUCACCAUGACCAACCUCUACAAGUUCUUUCCAAAAUGCUUGGAGUUCAGAAUCUUGUGCAAUAGCAUCAUCUGACUUGUAGUAAAAAUUCACAUAUUCUUCAACCCAUGACUUGAUAGCAGCCCAUAUUUCUAGUCCAUCAGAAGCAUAAGGGUAGUCUUCUAUUAGAAGGCGAAUACCAUAUGGUGAGGAUGGAUCCUCAACAGCCACUCCCCUAUAUAACAAGCAAGGAAAAUAUAAUUAAAAUAUAAAAAUUAGAUCAAUAUCUUUUUUAACAAAUUAAUGGAGUGACCCUUUUGUAAGGUUACCUUUUAUGUAAUUAAAAUAUAAAAAUUAGAUCAAUAUCUUAAACCACAAAUUAAUGGAGUGGCUCAUGGAUGAAAUAUUUUGUAAUUAAGAUUACCUUUUGAGUAAAUCAUAAGGUAGUCCUUGCUCAGUGAAAACCCAAUCCUUGUAAACAGUAGAAGACAUUUCCAAAGCAUAUCCACCCCACAAGAAUGUUGAUUCUAUAAUACCUUCGGCAUUGACAAGGACAUUUCGAGCAAGUGCAUUUAUGUUCAUUGUAUCACGAUAAUGUGGAAGUAAAAGUUUAUGAAUAGGAUGAACCACACUAAGAUGUCUAUUUGUUGCUAUGAUGAAUGGCUCAACAACAGCGUGAGUGUUCAACCUGUCACAUAUAUAUAUUCAUGAAUUACUCAUGGAUAGAUAAAACAUGUUACAUUGUACAAACAUCAUUAAUGAAACUCAUACCAAUGGCUAACAAGUUGGUGAUAACAGGAGUCAUUUACAACAACAUAAGCCUUGGAAAGUAGCCAAAUUGAAGCUUCAACACCUUCGCUUGCCGGCAAGUAUACAUUACUAACAGGACCAAAACUAUCACCUUGAGGAUGUGGCCUACUUAGCUCAAUUGCCAAUGGCUUCAAUGUUCCAUCAUUUUGCAAGAAAAGAAUGGUUCUUGUAGCAUAGGCCUUAGUGUCGGUUGCAUUUAUUUUCCUCAAAUAUGGAAAAAGUGGAUCGUGGUGAUCAAGUAUAUACAAUCUAUUAUUUUGGAUGGCCUGUUAAACAAAAUAUAAUUUUUUUGAUGUGGUUCAUUUGAAUAAAAACAAUCAAUUUUGCUGAAAAAGAAAAAUAUAAUGAAUCCUUUUGGGGAGUGUCCAAUUGUCUUACCUCUUCUACGGUGACACCACUCAUGUUUGGCUCUAAGUGUUCUUUGGUUAUUGUGCUAGUAUUAUCACCAUAGAUUUGACUAUCUAACUUGCUCUUUGGUGGGAACUCCUAAAUUAAUUGUAGCAAAAAAUGAGGUUAAUUACCAAUUAUAAUUAUAGGAUGAAAAGAGACAAAUUAUAAUGUUAACUAUGAAGUUUACCGUAAGUAUUUUGAUGAUGUGUGGAUUAACACCAGCAAUCAUCUCCCUUGCAAAUUCCUCAUCAGUCAUCCAAGCAGAAUGAUCCACUAUUCAUGAUAGAAAAAUUUUAAUAGAACAUUGAACAUCUUUUUUAUGAUUUAGCAUGUAAAUAUAUUUACAAGACUAGGAAUUUGUGAGUAAUAUAUACCUUGAACCACUUUAGGUGGUGGGAAUUUAAGUGCCGAUUCACCAUCACUUCGGAAAAGUUCAGUAAACAAUGGUAUUGGGCUAAUUUCACUUAAUAUAUUAGUGGGAAGCUUAAUUCCACCAUCAUAGAGCGAGCGUACAUCUUCAAAAGUGUUAAAUUCAGGUUCAUUGAGUUGUAAUGUAACUACAGAUCUUAACCGAGGUAUGAUAUUUUGAGAUGCUGAUUUGAGUAUGUAAACAAGAAAAUCUGACGACUUCAAGUGACCAAAUGAUUCAUCUCUUGGAAGGUAAACAACGUCGCUCCGACUCUCACUCUUAGGAUCUGUUCACGUAUAAAAUAACAAAAUAUGUUAUAGAAACUACAAUAAUAUUUUUAAAAUCACAAGUAGAGUAAACAUUGUAUGAACAAAAAGACACAUUGUUCUGCUCCAAAAAAGUGGCACCAUGUCAGUAUAGUUAGCCUUAAUUUCAAUUAUGUCAAGGUACCAUUAAACAACCUGUAUUGGUCACUAGUAACAAAAAAACAUUACAUAAAAAGUUACAUUAAAUACAAUUUCACAUUUUAGUACAAUAUUAUUGGAUUUGUACUAAAAUAUACGUUAAAAGUAAAAUAGAAGGCUUAACCUUUGCUAGUUGGUUUUUUGCCAGUUCUACCCCUUCGAGGGUAAGGAAGGGUGCUCGAUCCUCCAAGAAUUGGACGAGCUAAGGUACUUUUCUUGUCGGGCUCACCCAAAUCAUUGUAGACAUCAUAAUCAUAUAUUCUUUCCCAUUCUUUACGUUCUCCAGUUCCAUCUCCUCUUAAAGUUUUCAACUCUUCUUUUCUAUAGUACACUAAUGGAGCUGGUGUUUCACUUGGAAUAUAUGUCUACAUAAAUUUAAUCAUUCAUAACCUCAAGUUUAACGAACAAUAAUCUAUAUAUAUAACAUUUUUAAUAAAUAUAUUUAACAAAGUAAGAUAAAAUUUAUAUACUUAAUUACCUUGUUGGCAAAGAAAAUGCGACCAGUUUUGUACUUUUUAGAAUUGUAAACCCAUGAGUUGCAAACAAAGUUGAUGGUUCCAUGGUUUGGAACAUCUUCAAGAGUCAAACUCACAAGGAAGAAUUCACCUUGCAUAAAAUUAUCGAUAUAAAAAGCUCCUGGAAUUCCCAUAUCACUAUCCCAUUCAAAAUGAAUACUGAAAGCAGUUUGUUUGUCUCCCAAUGUUGGUAAAGAGGUAAGAAGACCUUCCAAAAAUGUUUGCUUUCCUACUUUUCCUUUUCCAGUUCCUAUUAAAAUGUCAAAUUUUGGAUUCCCAAUUUCAUUAAUCACCAUCCUAAACUGAUUAUUUAUAACUAAUAUUCUAAAUAAAAAAUAACACGAAACUAAGGUCAAUCUUAAUGGACUGAGGGGUAAAACUCUUCAAAAAUAUAAGAUAAAAUUACUUACAGUUGAUAAAACUAAGAAUUUUUUUUUACUCCUUCAUAUAAGUCCAAUUAUAUAUGAUCGUCUUAAAAUUUUAAAUUACAUAAGAAAAUUUCUAGAUGUGACUCUCAUUUAUGCAGCACCCAACAAAUCUAGGACUCUAGAUCAAAGGUGGAUAAUAUAUUCAAAAAUAAUUAUUAUCAAAGUAAAAGUCUUAACUGAUUUUUUUGAGAAAAAUAAAUUGAAACCUUGCAACUUUGGUCUUGGAUAAAAAUAGUAAAAUAUUUUAUUCCGAAAUCACUUGUCUCUUUACACUUUUUUCAUUUAUCUUGUUAUUUAAAUAAAUGAUUUUCUAUAAAUCUAUUUUUUAUUUGUUUUCGUCUCAUUUAGAGUAUUCUUUUUUUUAGAUUAACUUAGAUACACUCCAACGUGAUUAACGUUUACAGAUUCGGAGACAAAAAUACUUUGGUCAGUUUAAAUUUAUCAAAUUUAAAAGUAUUUUAUUGUUUUAUGUCAUUAAUCUAAAUAUUAAAUUUGUUCACAAAUUCA
rnacentral:lncRNA from 1 species